rnacentral:misc_RNA from 1 species
UACAGAGGCCCCAAGCGUUAUCCGGAAUCACUGGGCGUAAAGGGUGUGUAGGCGGCGAUGUUAGUCCACUGUCAAAUAUCCGGGCUCAACUCGGAAACCGCAGUGGAAACGGCAUUGCUCGAGGAUGCGAGAGGUGUACGGAACUCUAGGUGUAGGGGUGAAAUCCGUUGAUAUCUAGGGGAACACCAAAUGCGAAGGCAGUACACUGGCGCACUCCUGACGCUGAGACACGAAAGCGUGGGAAUCGAACGGG